rnacentral:rRNA from 1 species
CCUACGGGAGGCAGCAGUGAGGAAUAUUGGUCAAUGGGCGCAAGUCUGAACCAGCCAAGCCGCGUGAAGGAUGACUGCCCUAUGGGUUGUAAACUUCUUUUAUAAGGGAAUAAAGUGAGGCACGUGUGCCUUUUUGUAAGUACUUUAUGAAUAAGGAUCGGCUAACUCCGUGCCAGCAGCCGCGGUAAUACGGAGGAUCCGAGCGUUAUCCGGAUUUAUUGGGUUUAAAGGGAGCGUAGAUGGGUUGUUAAGUCAGUGGUGAAAGGUUGCGGCUCAACCGGAAAAGUGCAAUUGAUACUGGCAGCCUAGAGUGCAGAUGCGGUAGGCGGAAUGCGUGGUGUAGCGGUGAAAUGCUUAGAUAUCACGAAGAACACCGAUUGCGAAGGCAGCCUACGAAACUGCCACUGACGUUGAGGCACGAAAGUGUGGGUAUCAAACAGGAUUAGAUACCCGAGUAGUC